rnacentral:rRNA from 1 species
GCUGAACGCUGGCGGCGUGCCUAACACAUGCAAGUCGAACGGAGAUUUAACGCUGAUGAGGCUUCGGCGGAAUCUUGUUAAAUCUUAGUGGCGGACGGGUGAGUAACGCGUGGGCAACCUGCCUCGUACUGGGGGAUAACAGUUGGAAACGACUGUUAAUACCGCAUAAGCGCACGGUACCGCAUGGUACAGUGUGAAAAACUCCGGUGGUACGAGAUGGGCCCGCGUCAGAUUAGCCAGUUGGUGGGGUAACGGCCUACCAAAGCAACGAUCUGUAGCCGGACUGAGAGGUCGGACGGCCACAUUGGGACUGAGACACGGCCCAAACUCCUACGGGAGGCAGCAGUGGGGGAUAUUGCACAAUGGGCGAAAGCCUGAUGCAGCGACGCCGCGUGAGUGAAGAAGUAUUUCGGUAUGUAAAGCUCUAUCAGCAGGGAAGAAAGACUCGUAAGAGAGAUGACGGUACCUGACUAAGAAGCCCCGGCUAACUACGUGCCAGCAGCCGCGGUAAUACGUAGGGGGCAAGCGUUAUCCGGAUUUACUGGGUGUAAAGGGAGCGCAGACGGUAUAUCAAGUCUGAAGUGAAACCCCACGGCUCAACCGUGGGCUUGCUUUGGAAACUGGUAUACUAGAGUACUGGAGAGGUAAGCGGAAUUCCUGGUGUAGUAGUGAAAUGCGUAGAUAUCAGGAAGAACAUCAGUGGCGAAGGCGGCUUACUGGACAGCAACUGACGUUGAGGCUCGAAGGCGUGGGGAGCAAACA